rnacentral:rRNA from 1 species
AUUAUGGCUCAGGAUGAACGCUGGCGGCGUGCCUAACACAUGCAAGUCGAACGAAGCACUUUCGAUCGGAGAUCGUCGAAGAUUGGAUUGACUUAGUGGCGGACGGGUGAGUAAUGUAUGAGCAACCUGCCUUUCAGAGGGGGACAACAGUUGGAAACGACUGCUAAUACCGCAUAAUGUAUUGAGACGGCAUCGUCAUGAUACCAAAGGAGCAAUUCGCUGAAAGAUGGGCUCAUAUCUGAUUAGUUAGUUGGCAGGGUAACGGCCUACCAAGACUGCGAUCAGUAGCCGGACUGAGAGGUUGAACAGCCACAUUGGGACUGAGAUACGGCCCAGACUCCUACGGGAGGCAGCAGUGGGGAAUAUUGGGCAAUGGGCGAAAGCCCUGACCCAGCAACGCCGCGUGAAGGAAGAAGGUCUUCGGAUUGUAAACUUCUUUUAUGAGGGACGAAGGACGUGACGGUACCUCAUGAAUAAGCCACGGCUAACUACGUGCCAGCCGCCGC